rnacentral:rRNA from 1 species
CACCAGCGCCACAAGUGGGGACCGCUAUUAUUGGGCCUAAAGCGUCCGUAGCCGGAUUGGAAAAUCUCUCGUGAAAUGGUGAGGCCUAACCUCACCGCGUGCGGAGGACACUACCAAUCUAGAGACCGGGAGGAGUCAGAGGUAUUCAUGGGGUAGCGGUAAAAUGCAAUAAUCCCAUGAAGACCACCUGUGGCGAAGGCGUCUGACCAGAACGGGUCUGACGGUGAGGGACGAAAGCUGGGGGAGCGAUCCG